rnacentral:rRNA from 1 species
UCCUACGGGAGGCAGCAGUGAGGAAUAUUGGUCAAUGGGCGGGAGCCUGAACCAGCCAAGUCGCGCGAGGGAUGACGGCCCUAUGGGUUGUAAACCUCUUUUGCCGGGGAGCAAAGUGCCGCACGUGUGCGGGUUGGAGAGUACCCGGAGAAAAAGCAUCGGCUAACUCCGUGCCAGCAGCCGCGGUAAUACGGAGGAUGCGAGCGUUAUCCGGAUUUAUUGGGUUUAAAGGGUGCGUAGGCGGACGCUUGAGUCAGCGGUAAAAUUGCGGG